rnacentral:rRNA from 1 species
CCUACGGGAGGCUGCAGUGAGGAAUUUUCCGCAAUGGAGGCAACUCUGACGGAGCAACGCCGCGUGCAGGAAGACGGCCUUCGGGUUGUAAACUGCUUUUACCAGGGAAGAGAAUGGACGGUACAUGGUGAAUAAGCCCCGGCUAACUACGUGCCAGCAGCCGCGGUAAUACGUAGGGGGCGAGCGUUGUCCGGAAUUAUUGGGCGUAAAGCGCACGCAGGCGGUUCGCUAAGUUCGAAGUGACAAUCAACGGCUUAACCGGUGAACGAUUUCGAAAACUGGCGGACUUGAGAGCGAGAGAGGGACCUGGAACUCCGGGUGGAGCGGUGAAAUGCGUAGAGAUCCGGAAGAACACCACUGGCGAAGGCAAGGUCCUGGCUCGUAUCUGACGCUGAGGUGCGAAAGCUAGGGGAGCGAACGGGAUUAGAUACCCUAGUAGU